rnacentral:rRNA from 1 species
GCUCAGAUUGAACGCUGGCGGCAGGCUUAACACAUGCAAGUCGAGCGGAGUGAUGGUGCUUGCACUAUCACUUAGCGGCGGACGGGUGAGUAAUGCUUAGGAAUCUGCCUAUUAGUGGGGGACAACAUCUCGAAAGGGAUGCUAAUACCGCAUACGUCCUACGGGAGAAAGCAGGGGAUCACUUGUGACCUUGCGCUAAUAGAUGAGCCUAAGUCGGAUUAGCUAGUUGGUGGGGUAAAGGCCUACCAAGGCGACGAUCUGUAGCGGGUCUGAGAGGAUGAUCCGCCACACUGGGACUGAGACACGGCCCAGACUCCUACGGGAGGCAGCAGUGGGGAAUAUUGGACAAUGGGGGGAACCCUGAUCCAGCCAUGCCGCGUGUGUGAAGAAGGCCUUAUGGUUGUAGAGCACUUUAAGCGAGGAGGAGGCUCUUUUGGUUAAUACCCAAGAUGAGUGGACGUUACUCGCAGAAUAAGCACCGGCUAACUCUGUGCCAGCAGCCGCGGUAAUACAGAGGGUGCAAGCGUUAAUCGGAUUUACUGGGCGUAAAGCGCGCGUAGGCGGCCAAUUAAGUCAAAUGUGAAAUCCCCGAGCUUAACUUGGGAAUUGCAUUCGAUACUGGUUGGCUAGAGUGUGGGAGAGGAUGGUAGAAUUCCAGGUGUAGCGGUGAAAUGCGUAGAGAUCUGGAGGAAUACCGAUGGCGAAGGCAGCCAUCUGGCCUAACACUGACGCUGAGGUGCGAAAGCAUGGGGAGCAAACAGGAUUAGAUACCCUGGUAGUCCAUGCCGUAAACGAUGUCUACUAGCCGUUGGGGCCUUUGAGGCUUUAGUGGCGCAGCUAACGCGAUAAGUAGACCGCCUGGGGAGUACGGUCGCAAGACUAAAACUCAAAUGAAUUGACGGGGGCCCGCACAAGCGGUGGAGCAUGUGGUUUAAUUCGAUGCAACGCGAAGAACCUUACCUGGCCUUGACAUAGUAGAAACUUUCCAGAGAUGGAUUGGUGCCUUCGGGAAUCUACAUACAGGUGCUGCAUGGCUGUCGUCAGCUCGUGUUGUG